UACGGAGGGGACUAGCGUUGUUCGGAAUUACUGGGCGUAAAGAGCUCGUAGGCGGUUUGUCGCGUCUGCCGUGAAAGUCCGGGGCUCAACUCCGGAUCUGCGGUGGGUACGGGCAGACUAGAGUGAUGUAGGGGAGACUGGAAUUCCUGAUGUAGCGGUGAAAUGCGCAGAUAUCAGGAGGAACACCGAUGGCGAAGGCAGGUCUCUGGGCAUUAACUGACGCUGAGGAGCGAAAGCAUGGGGAGCGAACAGG
rnacentral:rRNA from 1 species